rnacentral:lncRNA from 1 species
GAUGUAUGUCCUAUAAGUCAAUAUGGCUGACACAUUGUAAUAAAUUUAGGAUAUAAUUUUAUAUUUUAUACAUUGAUUUGAUCAAUAAAAAGAUAAAUUUAUUUUUCAUUCAAGUGUGAUGUGUCCUUGAAUCGUCCAUCGAAUUAACUUUCGAUACAUAUUCACAAAGUGUUCAGAAUUAGAGACAAGUAUUUAAUUCCUAAAUACUCUCGAAUCAUCAUGAAGAUGGUGAUUGAUCUGGAUAUACCAGC